rnacentral:rRNA from 1 species
CCUACGGGAGACAGCAGUGGGGAAUAUUGCACAAUGGGGGAAACCCUGAUGCAGCGACGCCGCGUGAGUGAAGAAGUAAUUCGUUAUGUAAAGCUCUAUCAGCAGGGAAGAAAAUGACGGUACCUGAGUAAGAAGCCCCGGCUAACUACGUGCCAGCAGCCGCGGUACUACGUAGGGGGCAAGCGUUAUCCGGAUUUACUGGGUGUAAAGGGAGCGUAGACGGCAGUGCAAGUCUGGAGUGAAAGGCGGGGGCUCAACCCCCGGACUGCUCUGGAAACUGGACGGCUGGAGUGCAGGAGAGGUAAGUGGAAUUCCUAGUGUAGCGGUGAAAUGCGUAGAUAUUAGGAGGAACACCAGUGGCGAAGGCGGCUUACUGGACUGUAACUGACGUUGAGGCUCGAAAGCGUGGGGAGCAAACAGGAUUAGAUACCCGUGUAGUC